UACAGAGGGUGCGAGCGUUGUCCGGAAUCACUGGGCGUAAAGGGCGCGUAGGUGGCGGGCCAAGUCCAUGGUGAAAGCUCGAUGCUCAACAUCGAGUCGGCCACGGAUACUGGUGCGCUGGAGCACUGUAGAGGCUAAUGGAAUUCCCGGUGUAGCGGUGAAAUGUGUAGAGAUCGGGAGGAACACCGGUGGCGAAGGCGGGUCUCUGGGCAUCUCCUGACGCUGAGGCGCGAAAGCGUGGGGAGCAAACGGG
rnacentral:rRNA from 1 species